UGUCUUGUAAUUGGAAUGAUGGCGACGUAAAAGCUCGCCAGAGUACCAAUUGGAGGGCAAGUCUGGUGCCAGCAGCCGCGGUAAUUCCAGCUCCAAUAGCGUAUAUUAAACUUGUUGCAGUUAAAAAGCUCGUAGUUGAACUUCAGCCUGUUCGAUAAGUGCCUUUGCGGCGUCUGAUCGAGUUGGCUUAUCUUUUUACUUUGAGAAAAUUAGAGUGUUUCAAGCAGACUUUUGUCUUGAAUACUUCAGCAUGGAAUAAUAGAGUAGGACCUUGGUUCUAUUUUGUUGGUUUCUGAACCUGGGUAAUGGUUAAUAGGAACGGUUGGGGGCAUUCGUAUUUAACUGUCAGAGGUGAAAUUCUUAGAUUUGUUAAAGACGAACUACUGCGAAAGCAUUUGCCAAGGACGUUUUCAUUAAUCAAGAACGAAAGUUAGGGGAUCGAAGACGAUCAGAUACCGUCGUAGUCCUAACCAUAAACUA
rnacentral:rRNA from 1 species